rnacentral:ncRNA from 1 species
CUAAGGGGUGGCGAGAGCCUGAGAUAUGGUCCAUAAAAUCGGAGCAUAGACCCUCUGAACCUGAACUAGUUAAUACUGGCGUAGGGAUAGGCUUA